rnacentral:rRNA from 1 species
AUUGAACGCUGGCGGCAGGCUUAACACAUGCAAGUCGAGCGGAGCGAGGGUGCUUGCACCUUAGCUUAGCGGCGGACGGGUGAGUAAUGCUUAGGAAUCUGCCUAUUAGUGGGGGACAACAUUCCGAAAGGAAUGCUAAUACCGCAUACGCCCUACGGGGGAAAGCAGGGGAUCUUCGGACCUUGCGCUAAUAGAUGAGCCUAAGUCGGAUUAGCUAGUUGGUGGGGUAAAGGCCUACCAAGGCGACGAUCUGUAGCGGGUCUGAGAGGAUGAUCCGCCACACUGGGACUGAGACACGGCCCAGACUCCUACGGGAGGCAGCAGUGGGGAAUAUUGGACAAUGGGCGGAAGCCUGAUCCAGCCAUGCCGCGUGUGUGAAGAAGGCCUUUUGGUUGUAAAGCACUUUAAGCGAGGAGGAGGCUACUAGUACUAAUACUACUGGAUAGUGGACGUUACUCGCAGAAUAAGCACCGGCUAACUCUGUGCCAGCCGCCGCCGUAACAC